GUCGCACCAAACGAGCCCUAAGUAAGCAAGCAAGUAAGUAAGUAAUUAAGCAAGCAGUCUGCCGUAUUCAACGGCUCCGCCAUCCCCACUACCGUUAAGCAAUUCCACUCGCCGGCGGAGUGGCAGCUCCACUUCGACAAAGUCAAAGACUCCCAUAAACUCUUGGUGAUAUUUUUCACUGUAAAGUGGUCCGGGACAUGCAGCCUCAUAGAGCCGGUUAUUCACGACUUGGCAAACCGUUAUAGCAAAUUAAAGCUGAAUUCAUCAAAAUCGACGUCGACGAAUUAUCUGAUGCGGAGAAAGAGUUUGAGGUAAAGGGGAUGCCGACUUUCGUGUUGUGGAAAGAAGGGAAGGAGAUUACGAGGUUUCUUGGCGCCAGGAAGGAGAAGGAGCUUGAGGACAAGAUUCAGGAGCUCUGUGAUGGUUAGAUCAUUAUAUUGAUGAUGAUGAUGAUGAGCUUGUAAUAUUUAAAUAUAUAUGCAUGGUGUGUUUGAUAUAUAGAAUGACUGUGUGUUUGAUAGAAUGAGCUCUCUAAGUGUGAUAUGAUUUAAUAAAAAGUAGAAACUGUAAUAUUUUCGUUAACAGUUGAAUGAUCUAGCUGUUGUGGCCUGAGUUCAUCACCUUAUCUUCUUCCAAAAGAUAUUAUUGCAAUAAUAUGACACUUUGAGAUAUAAAUUCUAUCGAUAAAAGAUUACAAAACCACAUAAAAUAGGUGAAAUUCGACAAAGAUUGUGUGCGCCGGAACAAAACCCAAACAAGCAAGAGAAAAACAACAAACCAAAAGAGACACAAAACCCAAAAUUUUGAUUCCGCUCAAACAAAACUCAAACCUGAACAAUCAACCGUCGAGAUACAAGACCUCUCAACAAAUUAAGGGAAAAUCACCAAGGCACUACAUCAUGUGUAAAAUAUAUCGGCAAAAAAAAAAAAAAAACAAACCUAGCCAUAAUUUCAGGUGCGGCACUACCUCAUGUGUAAAUUAAAUAUAUCGCAAAAAAAAAAAAACAAACCUAGCCAUAAUUUCAUGACCAGCAUCAACAACCAUCUUAACCAUCAGAGAACCACACACACACACUCUAAUUCGGUCGGACAAACAUGUCAUAUAACGAGAUUAUAGCAAUAGCCAUUGCUAAUCGUCCUUGCAGUAGUUUGUGUUUUGCUUUCCUUAGUUCGAGAACUUUGUUGCCACUAUUGUCUGGACGAUUCACUGUCACCAUCCAUUUUUUCUGGUUGUAAAAAAGU